UACGGGGGGGAGCAAGCGUUGUUCGGAUUUACUGGGCGUAAAGGGCGCGUAGGCGGCCACCGCAAGUCAGUUGUGAAAUCUCUGGGCUUAACCCAGAACGGUCAGCUGAUACUGCGGGGCUAGAGUGCAGAAGGGGCAACUGGAAUUCUCGGUGUAGCGGUGAAAUGCGUAGAUAUCGAGAGGAACACCUGCGGCGAAGGCGGGUUGCUGGGCUGACACUGACGCUGAGGAGCGAAAGCGUGGGUAGCAAACAGG
rnacentral:rRNA from 1 species